AUUGAACGCUGGCGGCAGGCCUAACACAUGCAAGUCGAACGAGUGGCGGACGGGUGGGUAAUGUCUGGGAAACUGCCUGAUGGAGGGGGAUAACUCCUGGAAACGGUAGCUAAUACCGCAUACCAUCGGAUGUGCCCAGAUGGGAUUAGCUGGGAGGUGGGGUAAAGGCGCACCUAGGCGACGAUCCCUAGCUGGUCUGAGAGGAUGACCAGCAACAAUGGAACUGAGACACGGUCCAGACUCCGACGGGAGGCAGCAGUGGGGAAUAUUGGACAAUGGGCGCAAGCCUGAUGCAGCCAUGCCGCGUGUGUGAAGAAGGUCUUCGGAUUGUAAAGUACUUUCAGCGGGGAGGCGUUACCCGCAGAAGAAGCAACGGCUAACUCCGUGCCAGCCGCCGCGGUAAUUC
rnacentral:rRNA from 1 species